CAUUCGGUUUGGUGGUGAAUUGGAUUGGUCUUAGCUGCGCUGGCUGGAGGAGAGCACACGGGGUUGUGUUAACUAAUCAGCCCAGGUGCUAAAUGGUGUGUUCCCCUCCACAGUUCGGGGCUGAGACCGAGAGCUCACACUGCGAGCACGUUUAUUUAUUUAGUUUUUGUUUGUGUGUCUGUCAGAGCACAAAACGAAAGUGAACCGCCACUGAAAAGCAGGUGGAGCUGGUCCACUGAAAGCGAGCCAGCUAUGAGCAGGGAACUGAAAACGAGUUGCUCAGUUUAGCUUUCUUUUCUUUUUGUUAUUUUACUUUGUUGUUUUAGUUCAUUGUUUUUGCCCAGAACCCGUGAGGCGGAAAGAUGAAGACACAGCCUGGCUCUAUUGGGACAGAGGGAAAGAUGUAGCGCCCCCCCGUCCUUCGCGCCCUACGACAUGGCUGUAAUGCUGGGACCCAAACACUCCGACCCACAGAAAAUACAAACACAUGUCCCGGAUCUCGUUGCUCUGGCAGCCACUGAUAGUGAUGGGGUCGAAGUACUGGAAGGAGCGCAGCCCCACGCCGGAGAUGGCCACCAGGUGAGAGCGGAACUUCACCUGGAUGGCCUUGGUGCGGUAGAAGGCUGUGCUGAGAUCGUGGCUCACUGGGAUCACCAGGGGGUUGUUCCUGCAGCUCAGUCUCCAGUCACCUGAGAGGGGAAGACAUCAGCCAGUACUGCAGGUUCCAGUUGUGCAGUGGCGCCUCCUGGCAGGGGAACCAGGCAUACUGGGACACGCCAUUGGACAGGUCGAAGGCCUUCGACUGGCAUGUCUGAAGACAAAGAACAACACGGGCAUUAGCAGGGCUCAAAUGGAGAAUGCAGACAGAUAUCCAUGGCAACAGGUGGGAGGGGCUGACUGAUUUUUCCAUAUACCUACCAUAUCACCUUUUGUCUCAACAAUCAGAUGACCACAGAGGACACCGCCCCAAAGCCUUUUCAGAGUCAGUGCUCCAGUUCUGUUCACCCCUGGAAUAUUCUUGGCUGAGAGUGCGAAUGAGGCCAACCAAUGGAGCAUUUUCAAAUCCAAAGGACUGCAUUCAUUAUGUUAUAUUUUAAGCAUUAGCAUUUAGCAAACACUCUUAUCUACAGCGGCCAUACACAGCUUAAAAUUUUCAAUCAUGCAAACCAUUUACAUAGUAGAUUAUUUACUGAAACCGUUCAACAGUAACUCUAAUGAGUUAAGUUUAUUUACAGUCAAAGAGAAUAGGUAUUGUUGAUUAAAUUGAUUUCAUGAAAGGAACAUUUACAUUCAAAUGGUGUAAUUCCAUAAGGCACACGUCAAAAUGAUAUUCAUUAAUCAUAUAAACCAGGGCACAUGGCCUAUGAAUGGGGAGUUUACCGGGCAUACCAAAGAGCAUACCAUCCAGUUCCGAGGCACAAUGAUCAACAUUCUCCAGUUACAAGGGGAAUGUAACCACACAACAUGAGAUCUAAGCGAACAAGCAAAGAGUUACAAAACCCAGUAGUGUUGGCAGUAAUGUGGGCUGCACAUGUGAUGGAAGAAUGCACUGUGCAUGCAUAGGGUUGUAAUUUUACUGAAUUCCAAUUUAAAGGGAUGCUGGCAAAUUAUCAGUACAUGUGAUGGAAGAGUGCGCUGCUGAAUUCAGUGCAUGGUUACAAUUCAAUUAAAUGGGCAUACUUUUAACCAAAACAUGCCAUAAGACUUUUUUAUGUGUAUUCCCCCGCCCCAAAUAAGUUCACUAUUAAAAGGUAAGAUUUUAAUAUUGAAAUUUGGCAAAAUUCCCAAAAUUCCCAAGCCUAACUUCCCUUCCAAUAUUUCCGGGAAUUCACCUGAAAUUUACUUGAAAUUUUCCAACCCAUUGCAUCCCUAGCUAUACCCGCUUGUCCUGGGCAGAUACAGCCUGGACAGGGGCCAAUCUAUUGCAAGGCACACUCACACACUCAUUCCUAUGGGAGCCUCCAAUAACCUACUUGUAUGACUGGACUGUGGGAGGAAACAGAGUACCCAGAGGAAACCCAAGCAGACAUGGGGAGAACAUGCAAAUCCACACAGAAAAGCCCAGGUCAGAUCCAAUCCCAGGACCUUCUUGCUGUGAAGCUACCCACUGCACCACCGAGCUGCCCUUUCUGUAAUGUCACUGAGGUAAUUUUUCACUUAAGUUUCAAAGGUCUUUAAAACACAGCACAUCAGUCCUGGUGCAGCUCAGCUUCAAAAUGUUUUAAAGUUAAUUACAAGCAAAUUACCUGAAAUGCUCACAACUGAAAACAUUGUAAGCGUAUGA